GACUCGUUAGCUCAGUUGGUAGAGCAUUUGACUUUUAAUCAAAGGGUCACUGGUUCGAGCCCAGUACGGGUCAUCA
rnacentral:tRNA from 67 species